AUCCCGAGUUGUGAUAUGUGAAAAGGCUUAAGAGAAUUGAUUUGGCUACCUAUAUCACCAAAGUUGACUUACCUUUUCCGGAACACAUCCUGAAAGAACUCCAGAGUUAAGCGUGCUUGAGCUGGAGUAGUGGAAGGAUGGGUGACCUAUCGGGAAGUCAUUCGCGAUAGCGUGCGAGUGAGGCCAAAGCACGGGGAAAGGUCGGGUGGUGAUUGCAGGGUCAGUAGACGAUGAUUUCGAGCCUUUGGAAAAUUAACGACCGACCGUCGGAUGGGAUGGGGCCCACGGGCCGAGAGAGCGGACGUGGGUGGCCCAUUAGCCGUGGGCGGGUCGGGACGUUACAAGUGGUAUCAGAGCUGGUUAGCCGUCUCAGUUCUGACCUGAGAGGCGUCUUGAGACCUGUCGUGGAGCGCAACGAGGACGUUGCGUUCUUUGAGAGGGGUGAAUUGUAACAUCCCGAGUUGUGAUAUGUGAAAAGGCUUAAGAGAAUUGAUUUGGCUACCUAUAUCACCAAAGUUGACUUACCUUUUCCGGAACACAUCCUGAAAGAACUCCAGAGUUAAGCGUGCUUGAGCUGGAGUAGUGGAAGGAUGGGUGACCUAUCGGGAAGUCAUUCGCGAUAGCGUGCGAGUGAGGCCAAAGCACGGGGAAAGGUCGGGUGGUGAUUGCAGGGUCAGUAGACGAUGAUUUCGAGCCUUUGGAAAAUUAACGACCGACCGUCGGAUGGGAUGGGGCCCACGGGCCGAGAGAGCGGACGUGGGUGGCCCAUUAGCCGUGGGCGGGUCGGGGCGUUACAAAGGGUAUGUUUUACACCCUAAAAUUCAUCAGUUCAAUCUUCUCACUCAAAAGCUUUCCAGAAUACCAAGCGACCAAAAUGGCUAACUCUAUUGUUUUGCCUAAGCACAAACAUAUAAAGGUAUAGACUUUAUGUAGGUAAAGAGCCAUGUGGUAGAUGAGUGAAAACGAAGAAGACAAGGUCUCAUGGAAAAAGAGAUGAACACUCUCAAUGACUGGAAGAAGAAAAUAGAAGCAAAUAUCCCUUCGUCAGCCGCGUAAUGUCCUAAGUCAAUCAAAUCCUUACAAUCUCUGUAUGAUUCGUGCAUCAAGGACUGUGAUAAGGCAGUUGAAAGAGAUAGAAAGCUUAGGCCUGGAACGGAACAGCUCUGUCGAAUAUGGAACAGCUCUGCUACGGCGCCGCACACCCUCUCCUCUGAUGCGCAUGUGUUCUGUUCAGAGCUGCGACCAAAGCGCUGGAGAGCGAGGGUUGAGACUGAAACAGAGGGUUGGAUAGAUGGGAAGCCUGUUGAGGGAAACCUUGAAACAGAUCUCGAGCGCGACAAUGGAGAAGGUUGCACUAUUUGGCGACCAAGGGAAGUGAGAGGAUGAUAUUUGAGACAUGCCCUUCGAAAAAGAUUUGAUCUUGUGGAAGUUAAAAGCUUUGAAGCGACGUGAAGAGGAGUGACCUCCUUCUUGCUAAAGUUAGAGAUUGCUUUUAAACUAAACCCAUGUAUGCAUCACUCUAAACCGUAAAACUCCUCUCAAGAUUUAUCUAUGUACCCACAAACAAGAAAUGGUCGAGACUUUGAGUUUCUUUAAGCUUAAAGGAAGAAAUAGUAGUGGAAUUACGUGUUAUCAAUA